UACGUAGGGUGCGAGCGUUACUCGGAAUUACUGGGCGUAAAGCGUGCGCAGGCGGUUCGUUGUGUCGGCGGUGAAAGCCCCGGGCUCAACCUGGGAAUGGUCGUUGAAACUGGCGAACUGGAGUGUGGCAGAGGGGGGUGGAAUUCCGCGUGUAGCAGUGAAAUGCGUAGAGAUGCGGAGGAACACCGAUGGCGAAGGCAGCCCCCUGGGCUAACACUGACGCUCAGGCACGAAAGCGUGGGGAGCAAACAGG
rnacentral:rRNA from 1 species